CAGCCGUAAACUAUGCUCGCUAGGUGUCAGGCAUGGCGCGACCGUGUCUGGUGCCGCAGGGAAGCCGUGAAGCGAGCCACCUGGGAAGUACGGCCGCAAGGCUGAAACUUAAAGGAAUUGGCGGGGGAGCACAACAACGGGUGGAGCCUGCGGUUUAAUUGGACUCAACGCCGGGAAGCUCACCGGAUAAGACGGCGGAAUGAUUGCCGGGCUGAAGACUCUGCAUGACUAGCUGAGAGGUGGUGCAUGGCGUAGACGUCU
rnacentral:rRNA from 1 species